rnacentral:rRNA from 1 species
GACGAACGCUGGCGGCGUGCUUAACACAUGCAAGUCGAGCGAUGAAGUUCCUUCGGGAAUGGAUUAGCGGCGGACGGGUGAGUAACACGUGGGUAACCUGCCUCAUAGAGGGGAAUAGCCUUUCGAAAGGAAGAUUAAUACCGCAUAAGAUUGUAGUUUCGCAUGAAACAGCAAUUAAAGGAGUAAUCCGCUAUGAGAUGGACCCGCGUCGCAUUAGCUAGUUGGUGAGGUAACGGCUCACCAAGGCGACGAUGCGUAGCCGACCUGAGAGGGUGAUCGGCCACAUUGGGACUGAGACACGGCCCAGACUCCUACGGGAGGCAGCAGUGGGGAAUAUUGCACAAUGGGGGAAACCCUGAUGCAGCAACGCCGCGUGAGUGAUGACGGUCUUCGGAUUGUAAAACUCUGUCUUCAGGGACGAUAAUGACGGUACCUGAGGAGGAAGCCACGGCUAACUACGUGCCAGCCGCCGCAGUAA